AGGUGACACAGGUGUGACACAGGAGGUGACACAGGUGACACAGGAGGUGACACAGGAGGUGACAGGAGGUGACACACAGGUGACAGGAGGCGACACAGGUGACACACAGGUGACACAGGAGGUGACAGGAGGUGACAGGAGGUGACACAGCUGACAGGAGGUGACACCCAGGUGACACAGGAGGGGACACACAGGUGACACAGGAGGUGACACAGGAGGUAACACAGGUGACACACAGGUGACACAGGUGACACAGGAGGUGACAAAGUGACACAGGUGACACAGGUGACACAGGUGACAGGAGGUGACACACAGGUGACACAGGAGGUGACACACAGGUGACAUAGGUGACACAGGUGACACCCAGGUGACCCAGGUGACCCAGGUGACCCAGGUGACCCAGGUGACACAGGUGGGGACACACAGGUGACACAGGAGGUGACACAAAGUGACACCCAGGUGACACAAGGUGACAGCCAGGUGACCCCCAGGUGACACAGGUGACACAGGUGACACAGGAGGUGACACAGGAGGUGACACACACAGGUGACACAGGAGGUGACACACAGGUGACACAGGUGACAGAAGGUGACACAGGUGACAGGAGGUGACACAGGAGGUGACACACAGCUGACAGGAGGUGACACACAGGUGACACAGGUGACACAGGAGGGGACACACAGGUGACAGGAGGUGACACAGGAGGGGACACACAGGUGACACAGGUGACACAGGAGGUGACACACAGCUGACAGGAGGUGACACAGGUGACACCCAGGUGACACAGGUGACACAGGUGACACAGGAGGUGACACAGGAGGUGA
rnacentral:lncRNA from 1 species